AUACGGAGGGUGCAAGCGUUAUUCGGAAUCACUGGGCGUAAAGGACGCGUAGGCGGGUUGGCAAGUCAGAUGUGAAAUCCUACAGCUUAACUGUAGAACUGCAUUUGAAACUGCUAACCUAGAGUAUGGGAGGGGGAGAUGGAAUUAGUGGUGUAGGAGUAAAAUCCGUAGAUAUCACUAGGAAUACCGAAAGCGAAGGCGAUCUCCUGGAACAUAACUGACGCUAAGGCGUGAAAGCGUGGGGAGCAAACAGGAUUAGAAACCCUAGUAGUCC
rnacentral:rRNA from 1 species